GAGGAACACCAAUGGCGAAGGCAGGUCUCUGGGCCAUUACUGACACUGAGGAGCGAAAGCGUGGGGAGCGAACAGGAUUAGAUACCCUGGUAGUCCACGCCGUAAACGGUGGGCACUAGUUGUGGGAACCUUCCACGGUUUCUGCGACGCAGCUAACGCAUUAAGUGCCCCGCCUGGGGAGUACGAUCGCAAGAUUAAAACUCAAAGGAAUUGACGGGGCCCCGCACAAGCAGCGGAGCAUGCGGCUUAAUUCGACGCAACGCGAAGAACCUUACCAAGGCUUGACAUAUACAGGAAUAUGGCAGAAAUUCCAUAGCCGCAAGGUCUGUAUACAGGUGGUGCAUGGUUGUCGUCAGCUCGUGUCGUGAGAUGUUGGGUUAAGUCCCGCAACGAGCGCAACCCUCGUUCUGUGUUGCCAGCAUUUAGUUGGGGACUCACAGGAGACUGCCGGGGUUAACUCGGAGGAAGGUGGGGAUGACGUCAAAUCAUCAUGCCCCUUAUGUCUUGGGCUGCACGCAUGCUACAAUGGCUGGUACAAACGGCUGCGAU
rnacentral:rRNA from 1 species